rnacentral:rRNA from 1 species
GAUCCUGGCUCAGGACGAACGCUGGCGGCGUGCCUAAUACAUGCAAGUCGAGCGGACCGGACAGGAGCUUGCUCUUGUUCGGUUAGCGGCGGACGGGUGAGUAACACGUGGGUAACCUACCCGUAAGACCGGGAUAACUCCGGGAAACCGGAGCUAAUACCGGAUAACACCGAAGACCGCAUGGUCUUCGGUUGAAAGGCGGCUUCGGCUGUCACUUACGGAUGGGCCCGCGGCGCAUUAGCUAGUUGGUGAGGUAACGGCUCACCAAGGCGACGAUGCGUAGCCGGCCUGAGAGGGUGACCGGCCACACUGGGACUGAGACACGGCCCAGACUCCUACGGGAGGCAGCAGUAGGGAAUCUUCCGCAAUGGACGAAAGUCUGACGGAGCGACGCCGCGUGAGCGAAGAAGGUCUUCGGAU